rnacentral:rRNA from 1 species
UACGUAGGGGGCAAGCGUUGUCCGGAAUUAUUGGGCGUAAAGAGCGCGUAGGCGGUCCGAUAAGUCGGCUGUGAAAGUCAGGGGCUCAACCCUUGAAAGCCGGCCGAUACUGUCGGACUAGAGUCCGGAAGAGGCAAGUGGAAUUCCUGGUGUAGCGGUGGAAUGCGCAGAUAUCAGGAGGAACACCGGUGGCGAAGGCGGGUCUCUGGGCAGUAACUGACGCUGAGGAGCGAAAGCGUGGGGAGCGAACAGG